CAACCUGCAAAACAUUUUCAAAUAUUUAUUGUUUUUUUUUAUUUUUUUUUUUUACUUGUAAAUAUUGACACUAUCAAGGAACUAUGUUUGUCUUAGAAAACCUAGAGCGUGUGGGUGGCAUUUAAAAGGAGAUACUGAUACAUUGAUCAUUGAAGAUGGACUCAAGGAUGAAAGAACGAGAAUUUAUUUCAAGAGAUUAUGAUGGAGGUGGUGUUGGAAUGCAACUGGCAUUUGCCUUUAAGUAGUGUGCAAUUUAAAUAUUCAACAGAGAGUAAAGUUUAUAAACUGAGGCAGUCUAUCUAAUACAAAACAGAUAAGAGCAGUGUUGGUUAUUUGAUCAACUCAUGCUCUGUUUUAAAUGUAA